GCGACACCGCGUGUGGGAUGACGGAUCUAGGUUUGUAAACCACUUUCAGGAGGGAAGAAAAUGACGGUACCUCCACAAGAAGCCCCGGCCAACUACGUGCCAGCAGCCGCGGUAAUACGUAGGGGGCGAGCGUUGUCCGGAUUUAUUGGGCGUAAAGAGCUCGUAGGCGGUUCAACAAGUCGGUCGUAAAAGUUCAGGGCUCAACCCUGAAAUGUCUAUCGAUACUGUUGUGACUAGGAUACGGCAGAGGUGAGUGGAAUUCCGAGUGUAGCGGUGAAAUGCGUAGAUAUUCGGAGGAACACCAAUUGCGAAGGCAGCUCACUGGGCCGCUAUCGACGCUGAGGAGCGAAAGCUAGGGGAGCAAACAGGAUUAGAUACCCUGGUAGUCCUAGCUGUAAACGAUGGAUACUAGACGUAGGAACUGGAUUGACGGUUUCUGUGUCGUAGCUAACGCGUUAAGUAUCCCGCCUGGGGAGUACGGUCGCAAGACUAAAACUCAAAGGAAUUGACGGG
rnacentral:rRNA from 1 species